rnacentral:rRNA from 1 species
GAUGAACGCUGUCUACAGGCUUAACACAUGCGAGUCGAGGGGAAACGACGGGGAAGCUUGCUUCCCCGGGCGUCGACCGGCGCACGGGUGGGUAACGCGUAUCCAACCUGCCUCUGACUGAGGGAUAACCCGUCGAAAGUCGGCCUAAUACCUCAUGGCAUCGUCUGCGGGCAUCCAACGACGAUUAAAGAUUUCAUCGGUCAGGGAUGGGGAUGCGUCUGAUUAGCUUGUUGGCGGGGUAACGGCCCACCAAGGCUACGAUCAGUAGGGGUUCUGAGAGGAAGGUCCCCCACAUUGGAACUGAGACACGGUCCAAACUCCUACGGGAGGCAGCAGUGAGGAAUAUUGGUCAAUGGGCGGGAGCCUGAACCAGCCAAGUAGCGUGCAGGAUGACGGCCCUAUGGGUCGUAAACUGCUUUUAGGCGGGGAUAAAGUGAGGGACGUGUCCUUCAUUGCAGGUACCGCAUGAAUAAGGACCGGCUAAUUCCGUG